CCUACGGGUGGCAGCAGUAGGGAAUCUUCCACAAUGGGGGAGACCCUGAUGCAGCGACGCCGCGUGAGGGAAGAAGUAUCUCGGUACGUAAAGCUCUAUCAGCAGGGAAGAAAAUGACGGUACCUGACUAAGAAGGUCCGUCUAACUACGUGCCAGCAGCCGCGGUAAUAGGUAGGGGGCAAGCGUUAUCCGGAUUUACUGGGUGUAAAGGGAGCGUAGACGGCAGCACAAGUCUGGAGUGAAAUCCCGGGGCUUAACCCCGGAACUGCUUUGGAAACUGGGCGGCUGGAGUGCAGGAGGGGUAGGCGGAAUUCCUAGUGUAGCGGUGAAAUGCGUAGAUAUUAGGAGGAACACCGGUGGCGAAGGCGGCUUACUGGACUGUAACUGACGUUGAGGCUCGAAAGCGUGGGGAGCAAACAGGAUUAGAUACCCUUGUAGUC
rnacentral:rRNA from 1 species